GACGAACGCUGGCGGCGUGCUUAACACAUGCAAGUCGAACGGAAAGGCCCUGCUUUUGUGGGGUGCUCGAGUGGCGAAGGGGUGAGUAACACGUGAGUAACCUGCCCUUGACUUUGGGAUAACUUCAGGAAACUGGGGCUAAUACCGGAUAGGAGCUCCUGCUGCAUGGUGGGGGUUGGAAAGUUUCGGCGUUUGGGGAUGGACUCGCGGCUUAUCAGCUUGUUGGUGGGGUAGGUGCUGACCAAGGCUUUGAAGGGUAGCCGGCCUGAGAGGGUGGUCGGCCGCACUGGAAGUGAGACACGGUCCAGACGCCUACGGGAGGCAGCAGUAGGGAAUCGUGGGGAAUGGGCGGAAACCUGAGCAAACCGGGCCGCGUGCGUGAGGAAGGACGUCGGGUGGUAAAACCCUGUUAUUGGGGUAGAAAACGUGUUGGCGUAUCACGGCGCGUCUUGACGGUACCUGGGGAAAAAGCCACGGCUAACUUCGUG
rnacentral:rRNA from 1 species